rnacentral:rRNA from 1 species
AAUCAACGCUGGCGGCGUGCCUCAGACAUGCAAGUCGAGCGGUAAGGCCCUUUCGGGGGUACACGAGCGGCGAACGGGUGAGUAACACGUGGGUGACCUGCCCUCAGCUCUGGGAUAAGCCUGGGAAACCGGGUCUAAUACUGGAUAUGACUCCAUGACGCAUGUUGUGGGGUGGAAAGCCUUGUGCGGCUGAGGAUGGGCCCGCGGCCUAUCAGCUUGGUUGGUGGGGNGAUGGCCUACCAAGGCGACGACGGGUAGCCGGCCUGAGAGGGCGACCGGCCACACUGGGACUGAGACACGGCCC